GACGAACGCUGGCGGCGUGCCUAAUACAUGCAAGUAGAACGCUGAAGGAGGAGCUUGCUUCUCCGGAUGAGUUGCGAACGGGUGAGUAACGCGUAGGUAACCUGCCUGGUAGCGGGGGAUAACUAUUGGAAACGAUAGCUAAUACCGCAUAAUAGUAGAUGUUGCAUGACAUUUACUUAAAAGGUGCAAUUGCAUCACUACCAGAUGGACCUGCGUUGUAUUAGCUAGUUGGUGGGGUAACGGCUCACCAAGGCGACGAUACAUAGCCGACCUGAGAGGGUGAUCGGCCACACUGGGACUGAGACACGGCCCAGACUCCUACGGGAGGCAGCAGUAGGGAAUCUUCGGCAAUGGACGGAAGUCUGACCGAGCAACGCCGCGUGAGUGAAGAAGGUUUUCGGACCGUAAAGCUCUGUUGUAAGAGAAGAACGAGUGUGGGAGUGGAAAGUUCACACUGUGACGGUAUCUUACCAGAAAGGGACGGCUAACUACGUGCCAGCAGCCGCGGUAAUACGUAGGUCCCGAGCGUUGUCCGGAUUUAUUGGGCGUAAAGCGAGCGCAGGCGGUUAGAUAAGUCUGAAGUUAAAGGCUGUGGCUUAACCAUAGUACGCUUUGGAAACUGUUUAACUUGAGUGCAAGAGGGGAGAGUGGAAUUCCAUGUGUAGCGGUGAAAUGCGUAGAUAUAUGGAGGAACACCGGUGGCGAAAGCGGCUCUCUGGCUUGUAACUGACGCUGAGGCUCGAAAGCGUGGGAAGCAAACAGG
rnacentral:rRNA from 1 species